CAGGCGCCCCGAGCCGCGCACGCGCAGUAAAGGUAGGAUGGUGGUGUUGGUACCUUUUGUGGUUCCCAUCGUGGGUGACAAAACCUUGUUGGUGUGGGAGCUGAGCUGUGGACCCACGGCCGAGGCCUUGCAAGUGAGCCGAGCCGGGGCAGAGGGAGGGGUGGAGGAAGCCACCUCGCGCCUCAGUAACUGGGCGCCCCGGGGUACUGCUUCAGCACCUCAUCUGCCUGUGGUCUCUGCUGAGAGGAAUCUUAGUUCUAGAGCCGACCUGAGUAGUCAGCUCGCCCCCACAGAUUUUUGAGAGAUAGUUCCCAACAGCCGGCAUUGCCUCCUAAUGCUUCUCGAAGCUUAGGAUUUCAGAGGGAAAGCUGGUCCUGAAAUGAGAAGUGUUUGGAGUUGCAGGAUCACCACAGUUGCCUGCGGCGAAGGGCUGGGGGAAUAGAAAGGAACGGGCGGUUUGGCUUCCUGGGCGUGAAAUUUCCUGCACUUACUUAGCAUGGGCCCACCCUACAGCAUUCUCUGUUCACAGUCUUCUCCCAGUUUGGCCUUCUGUAUUCGGUCCGAGUCUGCCCAAACGCAGCAGUGGCCGGUCCUGUGUUCUAUGCCAUCAUCGAGGUUUAUUCAGCAAGGGAUGCCCACAGAGCCCAAAAGGCAUGCGACCAGAAGCAGCUUUUUCAGACAUCUCCAGUGAAGAUUUAUUCUCAUCGAAUUGCAAAAGGGGAAGAUAAAAAAAGAAGCAGAAGGGGCUUUUUUCGAUUUCUGCUGCGUAAGAGAAGCUCAGGGGAAAGUGAGAGUCAGGAGGGCUUUUUCGGGAGAAGGCGGCCACUUUGGCUUAGGGAUGUGUAUAGGCCUCUCAACGCCACACGCAAGGAAAACAUGGCACACAAGCUACACGACAGGGAGUCUUCUGAUGAGGAUGAGAUGUACUUCUAUAAGGAUGUACCAUAAAUGGGAAGUCAUCAAAGCCCCAGCAGAGAAGCUUCUGGCUGCAUAUUGGGUUGAUGAAGAGGCGGGUGAGGAAAGUGAGACCGCACACGAGACAGCCACAGAGUGAGCCCUGUUCUGCCUCAAGCCACCGGUAAAUUUUAUUUUCUAAUAUCGGCUUCUCAGCAUUGCUUGUAAAAUACUUCUUUUUCUUAUAUUAAAGUGUAUAAAUUCAUAACCAA